rnacentral:rRNA from 1 species
CCUACGGGAGGCAGCAGUGGGGAAUAUUGCGCAAUGGGCGUAAGCCUGACGCAGCGACGUCGCGUGAGGGAUGAAGGUCUUCGGAUCGUUAACCUCUGUCAGCAGGGAAGAACGGCCACUGUGCUAAUCAGCAGCGAAUUGACGGUACCUGCAAAGGAUGCACUGGCUCACUCCGUGCCAGCACCCGCGGGCAUAAGGUGGGUGCGUUCGUUAAUCGGAAUUAAUGGGCGGAAAGCGCGCGUAGGCGGGAAGGCAAGGGAAGGGUGAAAUGCCCGCGCUCAACGUUGGAACUGCCUUUGAAACUGGCGAACUGGAGUGUGUGAGAAGAAAGUGGAAUUCGAGGUGUAGGGGUGAAAUCCGUAGAUAUCAGGAAGAACAUCAGUGGCGAAGGCGACUAACUGGCACCUAACUGACGCUGAAGAGCGAAAGCGUGGGUAGCGAACAGGAUUAGAUACCCGUGUAGUC